ensembl:lncRNA
UGGAGAAGUUAACUUGAUGACCAGCUGGAGAAGUUUAGUUAAUUUACAUGAGACCAGACUAUACCCAUGACAUAAGCUGCCACAAUUCCAAGAAUUGGCCUCAAAGACCUUGGAAUUUAAGACUAACUCCACCUAAAACAAUCAAGAUAGCACUGGUCAGACCACCAAUUUGAAUAUGACUCUCAGAGCUGACUGCAGUUUCUGCAUAUAGUCCCCCCUCCACUUCUGUCUAUAAAAGCUCUUGCCAGUGGUUGCCAGUGGGAGGAAGUCAGCCUUUGGACUGAUGUCUGCUCCCCCCAUUCCCAGCUGCCAGCAUCUGCAACAAAGCAAGCUUUCCUUUCCACCAACCUGGGCUGUUCAUUGGCUUUUGAAUGGCGAGCAGCCAGACCCCACAUACACCUUUCGGUAACAGAUCUGUCGCCCAGCGUGGGGCUGACUACUGCUGGCUCCUGUGCUUUCAUGGUUCUCCUGAGUUUUCCAGGGGAGAGCUGUGGCCAUGACAGUGUAUGUGCUUGCGGCUUGUGGCUACUUAGCCACAAGUAGAGGAUUUGGAUGACGCUCCUAGAAUCUGCCAAAAUUAAUUGUUUCAAGGAUUCUCCCUGUUUCUCCCCUGCUCAGCACUGGCUGCCAACUUAAUGCUUUUUCUUGAUAGAAUGGAAACUUGCACUUGGGAUAAGCUGAUGAGCUCCGAGACCGGACAAGCGAUUCCUGUGUGCUCAGAAGAGGAACCUCAUCUUAGAAGGAUUGACAUACUUUGAAAAGAUGGCCUUUAGAAGCAAGGCAAAGCUACAGUCAAUUGUGUGAGACAUGGUCUGCAGGAGGAAAAUCUGAUGUGUUUUUGGACUGCCCUCAGGGUGAAAGACCUCAUUCUAGCUGAGGGUGCUGUCUUGGGCCAAGAAGAGAUAACGAACCAAGAACAGUGUAAUUUCAGGCUCCCUGCGGACAGGCGCAGACCACAGGGCAUUUUUCAACACAUAGCUGGUGAGGCUUGCAUUUCUGGCCAAGUGAGCACUCUUUCCACAGCCUCUCCUCACAGAGAACCCAAAGCUGGUAGGACACAGCCUGAGUAUCUCUUGAGACUACUAGACAGACCCAGUAAGAAACAAAGUCUUGAUUUGGAACAAGGAUGCCUUUGCCUGACUCUCACAUUCACUAGCUAAU